rnacentral:rRNA from 1 species
GGGCCCGCACAAGCGGAGGAGCAUGUGGUUUAAUUCGAUGAUACGCGAGGAACCUUACCAAGGCUUAAAUGUAAUAUGACCGGUUGAGAGAUCAACCUUUUUCGAACAGAUUACAAGGUGCUGCAUGGUUGUCGUCAGCUCGUGCCGUGAGGUGUCGGGUUAAGUCCCAUAACGAGCGCAACCCUAUUUUUAGUUACCAGCGAGUAAUGUCGGGAACUCUAGCAAGACUGCCAGUGCAAACUGUGAGGAAGGUGGGAUGACGUCAAAUCAUCACGGCCCUUACGUCCUGGGCUACACACGUGCUACAAUGGUAGGUACAGAGAGCAGCCAAUGCGCGAGCAUGAGCAAAUCUAUAAACCUAUCUC